CCUGUUUAACAAAAACAUGUCUUUUUGAGUUAUUUUAAAAGUCUGACCUGCCCACUGAAAUUAUUUAAAUGGCCGCAGUAUUCUAACUGUGCAAAGGUAGCAUAAUCAUUAGUCUUUUAAUUGAAGGCUGGUAUGAACGGUUGGACGAGGUAUAAGCUGUUUCAUAUAAAUUUAUAAUAGAAUUUUAUAUUUUAGUCAAAAAGCUAAAAUUUAAUUAAAAGACGAGAAGACCCUAUAAAUCUUUAUAUUUUAAGUUGUUUAAAUUUUUUAGAUUAAUUUUAUUUUUAUAAUUUAGAGUAUUUUGUUGGGGUGAUAUUAAAAUUUAAUGAACUUUUAGUUGUUAAAAAUCAUUAAUUUAUGAGUUAUUGAUCCAUUAAUAGUGAUUAUAAGAUUAAGUUACUUUAGGGAUAACAGCGUAAUUUUUUUGGAGAGUUCAUAUCGAUAAAAAAGUUUGCGACCUCGAUGUUGGAUUAAGAUAUAUUUUUAGGUGUAGCCGCUUAAAU
rnacentral:rRNA from 2 species